UACGUAGGGUGCAAGCGUUGUCCGGAAUUAUUGGGCGUAAAGAGCUCGUAGGCGGUUUGUUGCGUCUGCUGUGAAAACCCGAGGCUCAACCUCGGGCCUGCAGUGGGUACGGGCAGACUAGAGUGCGGUAGGGGAGAUUGGAAUUCCUGGUGUAGCGGUGGAAUGCGCAGAUAUCAGGAGGAACACCAAUGGCGAAGGCGGAUCUCUGGGCCGUAACUGACGCUGAGGAGCGAAAGCAUGGGGAGCGAACAGG
rnacentral:rRNA from 1 species